rnacentral:rRNA from 1 species
UACGGAGGGUGCAAGCGUUGUUCGGAAUUAUUGGGCGUAAAGCGCGUGUAGGCGGUUUGAUAAGUCAGAUGUGAAAGCCCUGGGCUUAACCCAGGAAGUGCAUUUGAAACUGUCAUUCUUGAGUAUGGGAGAGGAGAGUGGAAUUCCCAGUGUAGAGGUGAAAUUCGUAGAUAUUGGGAGGAACAUCCGUGGCGAAGGCGACUCUCUGGACCAAUACUGACGCUGAGACGCGAAAGCGUGGGUAGCAAACAGG